AAUAUAAUGUAUUUCUGUGAUGCAAAGCGUCUGAACAUUCAUGUUACCUCUAUGGCAUUUCAUAUAGGCUUUUAGCUUAAAAGCAUGCACAUUUGGAGAAAUAUUGAUGGAUUCUCAUAUGUUUAUGUCAAUUUUCUAUACAGAGGAGUAAUAUUUAUUCAAUAUUUAUUGUCAUCACUAUGAGCACUGGAUACUGUGUUUUCAAUUCAUACUUGCAGCCGGAGGGCACUCUGUGCACCUUUAGUCCACAAAUUACUCUAAAGAAGAACAGGCCAUGUGACAUUCCAGGAACUAACAGAGGCCGCGUCCGAAACCGUCUACUUCUCUACUAUUUAGUAGGGGAAAAGCAGUAGGCGAGCGAAUAAGUUUGUCCAAAGCAAAAAGAGUAGGCGAAAAUUACCUGGGUGACAUACUAAUUCUUGCGAGAUUCGGACGUGCGCCUACUUAAAGUGCAUCCGAAACUGCCUACUUACCUACUAUAUAAUAGGGGGAAAGCAGUAGGCGAGCGAAUAAGUAUGUCAGAAACCUCAGUAAUUAUAAAUGAGUAGUCGAGAAGUUCCCGGAUGGCCUACUGCUUCCGCCCAGAUUCUGAAGUGUUCCUCGCUGGAUACUUUUCUAUCCCAGGAGGCCACGGGAGAGGAUACGUCAUAAUCGAACACGGAGAAGAAAAGCGCUGUGGAUGCUGUCAAAUCGCGGGCGAGAGCCGUGAGGGAACUGAUGCGAGGCCGGUGACGCGAGUGAUAACGAGGAACAUUUGUAUUGGAUUAAAAAGCUUUUGUGGUGGAGCAGGACAGGUGACAGGUGACAGUGGCAUUUGUGACCAAAAAAAAAAGAAAAAAAGAAAAACCUGAAACAAAAAUAUAAAGAUGAAAUGUCCUCAGACUGGUGUGAGCACUGAGGAUGGAGAGUCACAGCAGAUCCUGGGAAUGGUGUAGAGCCAUGGAUGAGACCCUCCAUCACUCCUCCUGCCCUUACUGCCUCAUCUGGCCUGAUGUUGAUGUGGUCUCUUCAUCCUCAGUGAGCCCAGAGCCAGCGACAGCAUCUAGACAAAGACCAAAGGACAUUGAGGAUGUGAUUUUGGUCAAGUUUGUUCUGCUGGUUUCUGUUCAUACAAUGGAGCUUCAAAAGCAUCAUCAAAUAAUGUCAUGAAGCUUCUGGAAGUCAGGCUCCAUUUACUGAUACUGUAUGAACAGAAACCAGCAGGACAAACUUGACAAAUCACCUUUUGUGUUCAGAAAAACACAGGGAUUGACAGCAUGAAGGCGAGUAAAUAAUGACUGAAUUUAUAUGUUUGGGUGAACUAACCCUUUAUGCCCCCAAAUAGAAACUGUAUGAAAUAUAUGUAUGCAUUUAUAUUAUAGUAGUAUCUUGAAAAAGUAAACUUUAAGAAAUAAGCAGCUUUAAUACGGGUCUUGUUUUGAAGUCAAUUGCUGCGUGAUCUCCAGUAAUAUUCCACAAUAUCACAUUUAUCUCUAGUGAGAAAAACACCUCUUUGAACUAAGUGAGGAGCCAGUUACUCGUUGUUGCAAGAAGUCACUUCCACAGAGAGAGAGAGCGAGAGAGAUUUUUAGAUUUCAGUGUAAACUAAUAUAAUUUGUAAACAUUCAUUCGGACAUCACUGCAGGAGGAAAUCUUUUUCCAGGUUUUUAUAUUUUUAUUUAACUAUAAUAAUUGCACUCAGUAAAUUUAGUAACUGUUUUUUUAUUAUUCACUGUGUUAGAAUUUUUUUAUAAUCUUUUGGAGAUGUGAAUGUUUUUCACUUUUGAAAUGCAUAUGCUGUGUGUGUGUGUGUGUGUGUGUGAGAGAGAGAGAGAGAGAGAGAGAGAGAGAGAUCUUUUAGUUUUCAACUUUAUUGCAUUCUGCUAUUCAUGCUAUUCAAAAGUAAGUGCUUUCCCUGCUCUCUGAAAAAUUUGAUUUGUUUUAUAAAUAAACGUUUAAUAGCAUUUUAGUAGCACACUUAAUUUUAUACCAGAUGUUAUAUGAUUUUACAUAUUAUAAAUUAUUUUUGUUCUGACCAUUUAAGUAGUCAUUUAAUUUGGGGUUUAUUUCAUUGGCUAAUAUACAUCAUGUGACUUAGGUUAGAGGUCAUGUCAGCCAUCUUAGUUUUCACUUCACAAUAGCAGUGAUGCAGCAGCAGAUGUCUCCCUGAUUAAAGCUAUAUUCUUGUCAUUUCAUGCCAAAGAGGCCAUCGUCUGGGUGAAAAAGUCCAGGAGAUAAAAACACCAUGAGAGGGUCGUCUCAUCACAAAGUUUUUUUCGACUCUUCGAAACUUCAUCUCAUCUUAAGCUGAUUUUUCCUGUCUCGCCAUGGCCCAGAAACAAACCGCUGACCAACUCAGAAUCCAGAAUUCGGAUGCUGUCUCCGAUCCUGCUCAAGGUGAUUUUUACCUUGAAAAAAAAAAUCUUGUUCUAUCUGGGGAACGAACCCACAAUUUCUGGAAUCGAAGACAAAGACAUCCAACAGUUUUUGACUCAGCUGGGUUUUGUCGAUUUAACCCAAUCUUCCAAAUUGACUGGAGAAGAUUCUUCAAUUGAACAGGUUGCAACGCCAGAGACCACCACCAGUGAUCGCUAUGAUGAUUCUGAACUUCCGUCAGGACAACGUGUGAUUCCGGUCGAUGGUAGUAGACAGAGAAUUAACAGAGAGUCGGUUGAAGACACCAACUUAAACGAUGUAACCAGAUGGACAUCUACACAGCUGAACGCUUGGGAGCAAUCGUCUUGGAGCAGUGAUUGUGAAGUGCCCCUGAGAGGUCGUCAGACACCAUAUGCUUUUCAGAAAGAAGCGAUAGAUUCUGUGAAUAAUGGUCAAGGUUGCAUUGAAAACUUAUUUGUGGAUAUGAUAAAUCGUCUUAGUAGUCAACGUGAAGAAAUUCUCACCAAACUGCAUCAACAGCAUAAUGAGAUUUGCAACAGACUUGAAUAGACAAGAUGACAGAAUUCGUGAGCUGAUAGACAGCUGUGCCCGCUCUUCCCGUGGAAUGUUUGAAAAUUUUGAAAUCAUUCACGAUGCGUUACGUGAACACUUACGCGUGCGUCGUUUGAUUGUGGAUCUCCUCGGUGCUAUACAUCACCAAUUAUUUCGUAGAUAGAUGACAUCCUGUUUAGCUUUGCUACAUCUCUUACAUAGCAUGUUUUCAUUAUAUUUUAAAAAAUGUAUCCAUGAUUUUUACACUAUGAUUUAAAAAAACAUGUAUUAUUGUUUAAUCUUUUUCUCACUGAUUUUUAAAACAUUUAUCCAAUAACUUGUAUCUUUUCAGUCUGUUUUUUAAAAAAUGUCUUUUCAAAAAUUGUAUUCAACAUAUUUCAAUCUUUAUUAUGAAUAUAAAGGUGAACAGUUCCACCCCGAUCUAACAAUGCUGCGAUAUCGGCACGACUCGGUAGUGAAGUACCAGAAGAUGAUCCUGCGUUGUUGGAUCGGUCUGCAUUAUUUGUGUCGAGCGUUGCAUGACUAGUCGACGGUUGUGUGAAAUCAUCAUUUUCUGAAGCGGUAGGUGCAACAUUGGAAGUCUGAUCGAAUGUAUUACGUAAACCACUACCAUAUUGUAUUAGCUGCGCGUUGUGACCUUGAAAGACCCAAAUUUAAAAUCGGAUGUUACAGGUGUUUUAACACCCAGUAAUAAUUAUGAUGUUAACAUCUUCAUCGAUCAAAUCAGUAGGAUUUUACAAAGUGAUGAUCAGCUUAUGUCGGACGACCAGAUUGAAAUUCAAGCUAACAUAGCCACGAAUAGACAAGACGGCGGUACUCGUCGUAAACUUGUAGAUUUAUCUCUCAACGAGGUGAUUAAAAGAAAAAAGAUGAGUUUAUUUUGUCUGAUGAAUGUUUCGAACAAAUUAUGCUUCUCUAUCUGUCUUGCACGUUUUUUGAAUCCUCAGUUACCGGAGAGCGAAUUGGAAUCGUGUGCACUGAGCAUCCACAACAACGCUGGUUUCUCAAUCAAUGACCCGAUUGCUCUUCAUCACAUAGGUACGUUUGAAAAACUGUUAGACAUCAAAAUUGUUGUUUUUUACAGGACAAGCAGUGGUGGGUUAGAAACAUACAAAAACCAUGAUGAACCUCACCCUAGAACCGUCUUCCUAUAUUUACACGACGAACACUUUUACAUGAUUCUUAAUCUGACUGCUUUCAUCGGUAGUGAUUAUGUAUGCGAAUUUUGUUACAAAGGGUACAAUCACCCUAGAAAUCAUCAUUGCAAGUAUGUCUGCAAUGUGUGUUUCGAUGCAAAUUGUUACAAAUACCCAAAAAGAACCGUACACUGCACCGAUUGUCUGAGGUAUUGUAAUUCUACCUACUGUUAUGACAUGCACAAGAAAGCUCCGCCGGGUAAAGAAAAGCCCCCCUGCGACAAAAUAAAAUAUUGCAACUUGCGAGUCUUCAAUCAGACUGGAGGAUUUAUUUUACCGCUCCUUAGCAUCGCAGUACCCUUUAUUUCCAGCUUAAUAUCUUCUAGAAGGGGUUGAGGACGGAGUAUGCGGAGAAAAUGUAUUUAGUACCCCAGCAUCAGCUGGAAAAGCUGAAAAAUGAAAAUGUUUGCGAGAAUAUUCAACAGGUUGUAGAGAACGAUCUGGAUGCAUCCAUAAGAAAUAUCUUACUCAGGUCUGAUUUGAAUCAGUACGAAAAAGCCAAACUCUACACAAACAUCCUGAGCAGGUUUUUGACAAUCGUUAAACAAGGUGAUUGGGAGAGUAACGUUUUAACGCUAUCGCUACCAUAUUCUGAACACGGCCAUAAAGACGAACGACCACCAACUAUACCUGAAGACAACGGCAGUGUGGAUGACGUUGUGAGUGAAGUUCUGAAGAAUGUACCGUCAAGAAGUGUAAAAAACAGCAGAUACAUAUUAGACAAAAUGUCUAAAGCUAAAGGACUCAGUGCAUGGAACGAGUCAGGGUAGUUUGUGUUCAGGGGAAAAGCUAUACCUGGUUCGCACAUGCUCGACUUGUUAAAGAUUGUUACAGCACCACAAAAUGUUCGGGAUGACAGAAGACUGCUAGGAUAGUCAGAGUUUCUACAGUCAUUUGCCGAGUUAAACAUUCCGUUUUCUACAGUACCUAAUUAUCAUGUUAGACAGAUGAUUAAUUCUUUAAAAAGUAAACCUGGUAUGACUACGCCUGAACAUGAUCGUUCUUCUAAAAAAGCAAAAAGAAA